CCUGGGCGACAACGAAAUUCUGUUUCAAAAAAUGAAAUGAAAUAAAAUAAAAUAAAAAGCCAAAGGUCUUCAGAGCACCUCCGACCAGCGGAGGUUAAAGCUCAUCUACAACAGCUUGCAGCAAGCUUGCUUUGAUAAACAGUCUGGGGCCAGGAGGUACCCACAGUCCUAGUUACGCCAAAUUCAGGCCGAAGGGCGACCUAUGUCCGUGCUCCUGACAAAUUUCCAGCCCCCAUUGCCCAUCGGAGCUUCGUCCAGGUGUCCCCAUCUAAAGGCUCCACCUGCGCAGGGCGGGUGCCACAAAAUGAGGUGCGUUUUGCAAACAAAGGCGGCCGUUGCUCCAAGGUCUCGGGUAACCGAUUAGCAAAACCCAGGUCUUCCCACUUAGGGAAGAUGGCCCAAGAGCAAGAAGGUGAAACAAGAGGCCACCGGACCCGCGGAGCCCUGAGCUCGGAUGUCGCCCAGUGCUCCGCGCCGUCUCUGACUCCCGGAGCCCGGAUGCGCGCUGGGACUCGGUGCAAUCCAGCUCCACGGCCGCGCGUCCCACAACACCCUUCACGUCCGUUCCUCGGUUUCCCCACCUUGGGAGGGCCAAGACUUCCCAGGCUUUAGGGGGCUGGAAGCUGCGAGAAGGUGGCGCUCGCUUAGGUGAGGCGCGAAGGAUGGCAUUAGAGAGAGGAAGGUGACUGGAACCUUCCUGGCCAUGGACGACCGCCGGGUUCUAGGCGCCCGCUAGCCCCAGCGGUUGACGAUCACGUGAUACGCCCUAGUGUACCUUUCCUGCGGCGUGUUACCUGACGCACAGAGAACGUCGCUUCCAGAGGACCAUUUUUUUUCGUAACUGACAGUAGUAAUCUGGCGGUUUACACUCUCAUUCUCUCACCUUUUUAGCCGGGCUCUUGACCUGCCCGGCCAGAAAGUUGCCAUUGGGGUAAGGUGGACCGCGACGGGGAAUAGGGAAGGGUCUCAGCAGUUUCUGCACGAGUCUUCCACACCGGAUUCCGGAGGCCACAGUUAGGGAAAGCAAGGGCUAGUAAGGCAGUUACCUCUUGUGUUCCCUAUUCUUGUUGAGACUGUGGGUGUGGUGGAGUGAGCCUUUGGCUGACCUUUGUCCCUCCUGCCAAGACUUUCUUGCAGGACUAUUCCUCACCCAGUGGAUGAGUUUGCUUACUUGGUCGGUGACAGUACAGUGACCACAACCAAGGAUUUGACAAGGGGAUCUUACUACUUGCAACAAUUGUUUUUCAGAAACCUGGACCCCUACUGAAUGGAUCUGCUGGCACCUAGAUCUCAGAGAAGGGGGAACUGAAGACUGAACUCUGACCACUGUUCUUUGUUGAAAAUUUCUUUCUGAGGGGCCUGGAGGGAGUCACAUCUACAAUCCUGAGCUAACAUUCUCUUCUGCGGACCCCAAAAUUUAAACAAAGCUUCUCUUUCUUAAGCCACUGCAAAUGAGAAAAAUCUUUGAAUCUACCUAUGACUGUAAGCCCUUAUUUCAAGAUAUCCUGCCUUUUUAAAAAAAAUCUUUGAAUCUACCUAUGACUGUAAGCCCUUAUUUCAAGAUAUCCUGCCUUUUUAGGCCAAAACCA